rnacentral:rRNA from 1 species
UACGUAGGGUGCAAGCGUUGUCCGGAAUUAUUGGGCGUAAAGAGCUCGUAGGCGGUCUGUCGCGUCUGCUGUGAAAACUCAGGGCUUAACCCUGAGCUUGCAGUGGGUACGGGCAGACUAGAGUGCGGUAGGGGAGACUGGAAUUCCUGGUGUAGCGGUGAAAUGCGCAGAUAUCAGGAGGAACACCGAUGGCGAAGGCAGGUCUCUGGGCAUUAACUGACGCUGAGGAGCGGAAAGCAUGGGGAGCGAACAGG